CAAACGUGUGACUGACAAAUAUUUUGUGCUAGGUUAAGCUUCUAAAGGGUGGAUUUUAGACUGACUUUGGGCUGGAUAUUUUUAUUGGACUUGGCAACCCUGUCUGUGAUAUCGGGAAGGUAACGUUAACGAAGAUUUACCUGGUUGUAGAUGAUCAGACCUGUACACUGUCACACUGUCAGAGAAGAGGAUUGUGAUGGAAUUUCGGAUCACAGUAAUCUGUGACAGUGAAUGCUGGUGUCAGACAGAUCUUCCAGACACAUCUUCCUCAAAUCCUCACUCGCCCCCAGAGGAAGAGGAAGAAAGGUUUCAGGCGAUUUUUCGUCCAAGAGGAUCGUCCGUCUCCGAAGCUAAAGCUCGAUAUCGCUGUGUCGGCUGUGUCUGAUUCACACAUCAACAACGGCAAGUACAGCUUGUACCGACCACCCUUGGAGCCGAACACCCUGACAGGAUGAUCAGCCUCCCUGUUUCACAUUAUGAAUCGCAGGUUAAUGGUCUGUGCCUUCUUGAACCACCAUUGGUAUGAUUGACAGCUGAAAGAAGGAGGCGGAUCUCUGGAGAGCCAGUCAGAUGCGAGAGUGCUAAAG